UUUGUCACCUUCUCUGGAACUGGAGUUGUGGUUGUAUUAGACACAAUGUGGGUUCUGGAGACCAAAUCCAGGUCUUCGGGAAGAAUAGCCAGUGCUUUUAACUACUGAGCUAUCACUCUAGUCCCUUCCUUUCUUCAUAAUGCAAGAGAGAACAGCAGGACUAAAUUCACCAGUUAAUGAAGAGAGUUUAACCUACAUUUCAUACAUGACAUAAGACAGGGGAGACCCUCACCAUUUAUAACAGAUGAUUCUUUUGUUGGUGAACAAUGGUGAAUACAGAGAUGCAUGGCGACCCAAUGUGCGGAGAAUAAAUGACGGUCAAGUGCUCAGUUCUAAACAAGACAUUCAUACCACUGCGUCUAAGGCCCAAAGAACAUCAUAGAAUUGGGAACAGAAAGGAUAUAAGAUCCAGGAAGUUUGGACAAUGGCUGUGAAAUGUUAUCUUAUGGGCAUGACACAGUCAAUGCAAUUUUGAAAUCACAGCAUCUUUGGCUGCCUUCAAUCUACAUGUGCAGGAUUCAGCCUGUCAACAGGGUAUCAUGAAAGAGGAAGCAGCUCUCCUGACCCUAUCCCUCUCUGCUCAGCAAUUGAUUACAGGUGGAUUUGGAGGAGGUGCAGACUUUGCUUUUUAUAUAUCCAAUGAUGACACCACUUGACUCCAGUGGAUAGCUCCAAACCCAUGGAUGCAGAGAUGGCCGUUGUGUUUUUAAUUCAGCAAGUCACAAAACAAAAGCUAAAUAUAAAGAAAUGACUUGUAAAGAGUGUGGGGGCAAGUGGGAUUGGGACUAUCUAAGAGGGUAUGUGCUCAUGGUAAUUAGAUGAGCCAUAUAUACAUGUGGAACUGUCAAGUACCUAAUGAGUUAUUUUAAAGGAGUUACAAAAUGUUUUAUUCCUAUUAGAGUUGACCAAUACCUUGAAUGAAUGUGAACUGUGAGUCCUCUUAAUAUAAACACCAGCAAAUAGUUUUUUUUUUAUUUACCGCUGCUGUGCAGUGCUGAGAAGUGUACUUUACUCUUGAAGACUUGUAUUUGUGCUUAGCCCUAGAACUCUCAUCCAAAAC